AUUGAACGCUGGCGGCAGGCCUAACACAUGCAAGUCGAGCGGAUGAUGGUAGCUUGCUACCUGAUUCAGCGGCGGACGGGUGAGUAAUGCCUAGGAAUCUGCCUGGUAGUGGGGGACAACGUUUCGAAAGGAACGCUAAUACCGCAUACGUCCUACGGGGGAAAGUGGGGGAUCUUCGGACCUCACGCUAUCAGAUGAGCCUAGGUACGAUUAGCUAGUUGGUGAGGUAAAGGCUCACCAAGGCGACGAUCGUUAACUGGUCUGAGAGGAUGAUCAGGCACACUGGAACUGAGACACGGUCCAGACUCCUAUGGGAGGCAGCAGUGGGGAAUAUUGGACAAUGGGCGAAAGCCUGAUCCAGCCAUGCCGCGUGUGUGAAGAAGGUCUUCGGAUUGUAAAGCACUUUAAGUUGGGAGGAAGGGCUGUAAGUUAAUACCUUGCUGUUUUGACGUUACCGACAGAAUAAGCACCGGCUAACUCCGUGCCAGCCGCCGCAGUAAGAC
rnacentral:rRNA from 1 species